GGGUGUGUAGCUCAGAUGGUAGAGCAGCUGACUCUUAAUCAGCGGGUCCACGGUUCGAUCCCGUGCGCACCCACCA
rnacentral:tRNA from 1 species